rnacentral:rRNA from 1 species
GACGAACGCUGGCGGCGUGCCUAAUACAUGCAAGUUGAGCGCUGAAGGUUGGUACUUGUACCAACUGGAUGAGUAGCGAACGGGUGAGUAACGCGUGGGGAAUCUGCCUUUGAGCGGGGGACAACAUUUGGAAACGAAUGCUAAUACCGCAUAAAACUUUAAGCACAAGUUUUAAGUUUGAAAGAUGCAAUUGCAUCACUCAAAGAUGAUCCCGCGUUGUAUUAGCUAGUUGGUGAGGUAAAGGCUCACCAAGGCGAUGAUACAUAGCCGACCUGAGAGGGUGAUCGGCCACAUUGGGACUGAGACACGGCCCAAACUCCUACGGGAGGCAGCAGUAGGGAAUCUUCGGCAAUGGACGAAAGUCUGACCGAGCAACGCCGCGUGAGUGAAGAAGGGUUUCGGAUCGUAAAACUCUGUUGGUAGAGAAGAACGUUGGUGAGAGUGGAAAGCUCAUCAAGUGACGGUAACUACCCAGAAAGGGACGGCUAACUACGUG